rnacentral:lncRNA from 1 species
CAACAACACCCACACAACUGAGUUUGCAACCUGUGUUUGAUAAAGUUUCCUCAAGCCAAUUUUACGUAAAAUGGGAUGUCGCUUGUUUUGUUGGUCUUGUGGCAGAUGCUUGGAGACAUUGGAAGGUAUGAAGGUCAUGUCAACGAUUGUCCCAACCCAAGACACGAAGACAAACUCUGUCGUUGAUCAAGUUGUUGCGGAACAAAGGUAAUUUCAAGAACACCGAUUCCAACAAUCAUGGCAAGAUAAUCAACAUGAGAUCUCAUCUUACACAAGUUUAUGCAAAGAAAACGAAUCCGCACAAACCUAUGUAGUUCUCCCUCCUCCUCCUCCAGGUCGUUAAUUUGUAUGUUACUAGGUUGAUUCAAACAUUUUAUAAGGUCACAUCUGUUGAUAAAAAAAGAAAAUGAAAACUAAAUCCAAAAUUUCCAACAAAAUACAAGCAAUGUGUAUAUCUUAUCAUAAAGCCUAUUUGAGCUAAUUUAAUUUUCAAAUCUAUAAAAUUUUACAUAAGUAGGAUAAUAUUAACUAUAAGUAGUAAAUAAAAUCCAUAUAUUUUAGCAUUUGGGAUGUAGCAUGGGUUACAUCAAUAUUGAAACAUUUUAGAACAUAAAUAACCAAGAAUAAUGAGCUCAAAGAUUUUUCGUUUAAAAAAAAAAACUAAAUAAUCCAACAACCAUGGUUAAAACGUAAAACAUAUUAACCUAAAGUUAAAGAGCAACAACCCAAUAUUGCUAAAAAAAUCAGACCUGUAGCUUCGAUAAGUGCGAUUAAACAAUGUCAAAGAAAGUAAACUUAAAAAAUAGUAAUGAUUGAGUAAAGCUACUAAAAUGCCACAAGAAAUUACGAUAAAAAAGUAACAAAUCAGUGAGUGAAGCGACAAAAUAGAUUUGAUAGAAAGGUAAAAAUAUAAAAUAUAAUUUAAACUGAAAUUAUGUUCUUACCAGCAAGCUUUCUCAAUUCUCAAAACCUCGACAUGACGGGAGCAUAAGGAUUACGGAGGGGAAGACCAGUAAAGGGGUUUUAAU